rnacentral:rRNA from 1 species
UACGGGGGGGGCAAGCGUUGUUCGGAAUUACUGGGCGUAAAGGGCUCGUAGGCGGCCAACUAAGUCAGACGUGAAAUCCCUCGGCUUAACCGGGGAACUGCGUCUGAUACUGGAUGGCUUGAGUUUGGGAGAGGGAUGCGGAAUUCCAGGUGUAGCGGUGAAAUGCGUAGAUAUCAGGAAGAACACCCGUGGCGAAGGCGGUCUCUGGGACGGUACUGACGCUGAGACGCGAAAGCGUGGGGAGCGAACAGG